UACGUAGGGUCCGAGCGUUGUCCGGAUUUAUUGGGCGUAAAGAGCUCGUAGGCGGCUCAGUAAGUCAGAUGUGAAAACUCAGGGCUCAACCCGGAGACGCCAUCUGAUACUGCUGUGGCUUGAGUCUGGUAGGGGAUCACGGAAUUCCUGGUGUAGCGGUGAAAUGCGCAGAUAUCAGGAGGAACACCGAUGGCGAAGGCAGUGAUCUGGGCCAGUACUGACGCUGAGGAGCGAAAGCGUGGGGAGCGAACAGG
rnacentral:rRNA from 1 species